GCCGUUCAUUUUUAAACUACUUGUUUGAUAGCUAAAUGAUAUCGAAAAAUUAUAAAAUUUGAUUUUCAAACACUUUUAAUAGUAUAGAUCAAAUCUAACAGAGCCGAUCUUCGAUUUGGAAGCCGCAUCACCGAAAAUAAUUUAGUAGCACGAAGGCCCUCAUGUCAGCGAUAGUAUAUAUAGUAGGAGCCGGACUAUAUAUAUAUAUAUAGAGAGAGAGAGAGAGAGAGAGAGAGAGAGAGAGAGAGAGAGAGAGAGUAGUAUGCUUCUAAAAGCAUAGAGCUCUCCGUGCUUCAAGUUGUUUUUGAUGUUGUGACUUUCGAAUCGACGAUCGGCUCCGUUAGACUGAUAUAGAAUAUUUGAAGUAUCUAAAAAAUAAAUUUUAUGAUUUUUUUAUAUCAUUUGCUUAGUGAUCAAGGGGUUCAAAAUCAAUAGCUGAAAAUAUAAAUUUUACAAAAUGUGAUGAUAUGAUAUUAAAAUUUUAGAUCAAAGAUAUAUUGAUCUUAUUUUAUAUAGUAUAAAAAAUUUUCAAUCAAAAUUUUACAUGAUUUAGCUAGUAUAAUCUAACGGAUAGAAAUGAUUAAAGGGUAGAUCUAAUGGCCGAAAACUUUAUAGCACCAAGCACUUGAUACUAUCAAUAGUAUAGUA
rnacentral:lncRNA from 1 species